AGUUGGAUUAAGGUUCUAAUUGCUAUGACCAUGUUCCUGUACAUGUUGCCCCUAGUCUGGGGGCUAUUUCUUCCUUAAAGAGAGAGAUCUUAAGAUAUUAGGAUUAAGGUUCUAAUUGCUAUGGCCAUGUUCCUGUACAUGUUGCCCCUAGUCUGGGGGCUAUUUCUUCCUUAAAGAGAGAGAUCUUAAGAUAUUACAAGUGAAUAAAAGGAUGUGAAAAAGUAAAAUAUGUGUAUAGAUUAAAAUAAGGUAGCAGUGUGUGGUGAUUCUAAAUUUUUUAAAUGUUUUCUUAUUAGCAAAGCUACUUUAAUUGUUGAUGUGAUCUGCCAGCCUCAUAACUGCUCUCUUCAAGAUUCACAUAGCCAGCUGCAGAAAUUUAGCUGUUUAGAAGUCAGUUCAGUGAAGAUGUCUAAGAGGUAGACUGUGCUGCAAACACAGGAACCUGAAUGCAAAAUCAUUUUAAUACAUAUUCCAUAUUUUGUCUAAUAUUAAAUCAAAUUUGCUGGCGAUGAUAAUGCAGAACUUGGAUGAAGCCUGAGAGGAGACACUUGUGACAACUGUGCAUAGAAAGAAAGGCCAGAGUUAGUUAUUGAAAUAAUAAUAAGGCUUCUCUGCCUUAUUACAUUCUCUGCUAUAUUUCAUUUAACUACAACAGCAAAUCAGCAAAAAGCUGUGGUUGGACCUCUUAAGUGAAGAGACAAAAUUUAUAUUCUUUCCUCUGAAAUGUGCUCCAGAACACCCAAAUUUUCAUUCUGCCCAGUUUCUAGGAUGGACUGAAUAAGUUGAAAUGACAUUAUUGGUACAGUCAAGUUCUCAAACAAGGGGUCAAGAAAGAGAGUUUUAGAAAGUAAUGAAUUUUCCUUCAAGUUUGGUUUGAGUGCUGGAGUAUUUUGAUAUUUACUCAAAGUACUUGGCUGCUUUCCAGUGUUCCAGAAUAAUUCAGAUACAGUAUUGCCAACAUAACUGUUGGUUAUACUGGUGGAAGAUUAAAGAGCUUUAUGACAGAGGGAGAGGAAGGUGGUGUUGGUUUAUUUUUCUACAUAAAUGAUGCUUAAUAAAAUAGUAAACUCCUGAACUAUGUGGCUAUUUCCAGAUUAUUUUUUUCUAAACUAGAUGCUUGCAAAAAUGUUUUAUUUUAUGAUGCGAAAAAUUGGGAAUUGCUGCUUCAGGAAGUUCAUAGGCAUGAGAACAACCCUGUACUAAAUUUUUACUUCCCCGUUUAUUUUAAUGAGCUAUAGCUCUUCUUAACAUCUUACCAGCUAUCUAAUGUAUCUUCUUAAUAAGCUGUGCAUGUAUUCUGCCUUCCUAUUUGCUUUUUGCUGUGUACUUUGUUUUCUAUACCUUCUCACAUUUGUUUGUAGGGAAAUAAGACAAUUUUGAGUGAGGAAGGCACUACUAAUAUAUGUGGCAGCUUCUAAAAUAAAUUAGUAGUUUACUUGUUCUUUAGUUCUGCUGAGCAAAGCAUCUUUCGAGAAAGAUGUAGUGAGGAGUGUAUGGAGUUAGGCAUACAAAUUCCAGUGCUAUAAUAGGCUUAGAGUUUAGAAAUGGAGAAAAAUGGUUUGGCUCAUCUUGAUUGCUUUCUGCACAAUACCUUCUGUUUCAGCUUGUCCUGUUUGUUUCAUGUGUGAGAUAUAAAAGGGGAACUGUUUGCCUCUCAAAGGUCACAUCACAAUUUAGCAUUUCUUCAUGAACUUGAAAGUUGAGCCUGAAAGUCUGUGUUUGUUCAAUGUUGUGUUGUUCGUGGUAUGAGUCUUCAGUACUAGUCAUUGAUAAUUCUGCUUACUAUUGACACAUUUCUAAAUACUUAUAAGACUUAAUUAACUGUGAAGAUUUUGGAUUGUCUGCUAAAGUUUUAGGCUAAAAUUCUAGGUUCACCAUUUUUUUGUGUUACCUUUCAUCAAAAAAUCCCCGACUCUUCAGCUUUACAGACAUAAACACUCACUUCACACAGGUGAGGUAGAUAAGAAGUGCUUUCCACAUUUUACAGAUGGGGAAAUCUGAGCAGUUAACUGACUUGUCUGAAGUCAUACGGCAAGUCAGUGGCAGAGCCAAGAAUGGAACCUGAACUAUUUCCAGUCCUGUGCUCUAACCACUGCACAGCAUCCCUCCCUUAGGUAAUUGUCUGACAUGAUGAUCUUUGUAUUUGGUGUAUAUGGUGGCUUUGAGAAGAGUACCAAAUCAGCUAAAAUCAGUUACUGUUAAAAAUUUUAUGCAGAAGCUCUUAGGUGUGUAAUAAAAAAAUAAAUUGUUACAGAAGCAUUGCAUUUGGGUCGCUGCCUCUAGUUUUGUGCUUCCAAAAAUGUAAAAACUAACAAGGGUAAACUCUGGGGAAUGGGUUCUGUGAUUGUAUGUUUUCAGUUUACCUAUUUCAGACUGUAAAAGAUGCCAUUAAAAAUCCUUUGUCACUGUUUUUUCGGGCAAAAUGCUUCUAAUUGGAAAACUUAAAGGUAGAAAUUUGCAAAUUUCAAACUACUCUUUUAAAUGCACUUAAAUCAUUAAUACCUAGUGGUAGCAUGCAGGUGCAGAAUGAUUCCAUUGACAUAAACAGAUGUCAUUUGUAUUCAAGGAUGAAAUUGGGCUUUAGAAACAUUGAGGUGUUGCUGUCAGAACUGACAGCAAUUUUAAAAACUUGAAUAUACAGGGAUAUAAAUUAGGAUAUAAAACCCAAUUAAUUUUUGGUUACUUUUGUUACUAGCAUUUGCAAGUUCUGAGGCUUGGAUAAGACUGGACAUGCUGGAUAGAGUUAGAAUGAGGUCACCAAGCAGAGAAAGGGUUAAAUUUCUGAGCAAAUCUUGAUAAUCUAAAUUUGGAUUUUAUUGUCUUAACUAGUCCAAACACAGGAAGUUCCAUAUACAACCUUGGGAAUUGGGAACAGAAAGUAGUUUUUUGGUUAUUUUCUGGAUGAGUGCAUAUGUAAAAUAUUUUAGUGGAUGGUAGAUUCAGACAAAUACAAAAAAAUAAAAACUCGUGUUUCUUAAUUUCUUCCAUAUUCUUUUAUCUGCACUAUUUAUUGGGGUUCUUUGGAGAUGAUUCCAGCUGUUUCUGGUAUGUUUGCCAGCUAUCAAUUUGUUCCUAAACUUCAAAAGCAAAACAAAUGUAUCAGUGUGGAAAUGAACAUUUUGACCCAUCUGUUUGAUUUUUUCCCACUUAUAUAAUAAACCAAUAAAAUAAGCAGAAACCAAUAAAAUAAGCAGAACAUGAAGCAGCAACAGAAAUAGCAAGGAGGAACCGAUGAACAGAUAAUCUGCCCCAUUUUUAUUGACAGAUUUGUUUGUUCUACAUCUUUUCAAAUGACAUUCAAAGCAGAAAGCAGUUUUAAGGAGUAGCUGAAACAAGGACUCGGAUUUGGGCAACUGGCUGAUUGGCAUGUCAUGUAUAUAAAACAUACAUGAGACAAUAUGUAAUUUUGUAAUCAUGUUACAUAUUGCAAAUAUUAUAUCAGCUUAUUCUGCUUAUUCAGUGUUGGACACUGUCAUUUUGCUGACUGAAUGAUUUAGGAAAAGGUCUUUUAAGGUAUUUCCCUCAUUCUUGCAAUAUAGCCAAGCAAUUUGGGGAAAAGUCAGGUCUUACCUGAUAACAUAUAUUGAGCUUGCAGCAAAUCAAAGCAUACAUUAAGCCUGCAAAGAAUAGAGUAGUUAUUUUGUUUCCAUUAGGGCUUUUGUACAACUGAGCACAUUAUGAAGCUGUGUGGGACUUAGAGCUAAGAAUCAGGAGGUCAGGUUCAGGGAGAGAAAAUAAUUUACACUUCAAAACUGCAUCAUGCAGCACGAUAGUAUUUACAAGAGUUAUGGAUAAAUGCAUAAACUGGCCAGAUUUAAAAAAAAAAAAAAAAAAAAAAAAAGAAGAAGGCCAAGGCUGAAGUAUUUAACAUAUCUUUCCUGUAAUUAUUAUUAUGAAAUUUCUAAUUUCUCUGUAGUGGCUUCGUCUAGAAGAGUAAGCUGCGGUUCUAGGCACAAUGAUAAGUAGGACUAGAUACAACCCUUGCUGAUCUUACCUAGUGGGUUCUUGAGUUUUCCAUCAAGGGUUCAUGGGCUCUGAAACCAGACAGCUAAACCACAAUUCCUUCAGUCAACAAGUGUUAUAGCUGCCUUCUCUAUCCUGUUCAGGAUCUGUCUCUGUCAGAUUCUGAAUUACAGGAAUACUUGAGCUUGGCAACUGCAUCCAUUCUCAGGAGACUUUGAAACUAUGUGCCUUGGGAAGUCACUUGUUUAGAUCCAUGUUUCCUUCAUUCCAAUAAAGUCUGACAGGUUUUUUUAGUAAGGAACAUUUUCCUCAUUAUGGCUUAGUGUCUGUUGUCUGUAAAAGCAGAGCAGUCCUUUGCUUGCUUGCAGGUAACAGCAUACCCACAACAAGCUGCUGUUCCUGAUGCCCCAGGUACCAAGUGCUUAUGUCCUGUAUGUUACCAUGGUAUAAUCAUAGCUCUUGAAAAUUUUGUGAUGCUCAGUAAGAGAAAAAUCCAUAAACACAGUUUGGAGAAAGAGAAGAUCAGUUUAGUUGGUUUUGUUCAGGUUUUUAAAGUUGUCUUGGGGAUGUUAUUGCGUUGAAUCCUCUCAUAGCACCUUGGGUUCUGUAGUGCUGACAGGCAUCCUCUGCUCCAGAGACUUUGUUGCAAAUGUCAGGACAUGACUGUGACAAACAAAAAGUGAUUGUGUUUAAAGAGGAAUAACAUAGUUUCAGUCUGAAACACACUCAGGAAGAAGCUCAGUUUAUAAGGUGAUGUUAUUAAUUUAAAAAUUAAAAAAGAGGAAAUUAGUAGCUAGUAUCUGCAGUCCUGGACAACUUGAAAGUGAGAUAAAUAGCUAGGUCAUCCCAAGCUCUAGAGAUGUCAGGAGAAAACUAAAUCUGUCUCCCUUUUCUUCUUUCUCUCGCUCUCUGGAAUUGAACAGAUCCUUUUUCUGCUACUGUUGAUAGUGUUGAUGAUGCCAUUCCAAACCUAAAUCCUUUCCUUACAAAAACUAAUGAUGCUGCUCAUCUGUCUGUGUCUUCUGAUGUAUCUACUUUCACCAGUAGGACACCCACACAUGAAAUAUUUGUUGAUUCUUUUUGUGGUCCUCAAGCUUAUCCUAACGCUUCUCAUUUCCGCAAUGAGCCUUCUUCUGUAGCUGGUCUAUUUGGAGGUAGGUAAUGGGAUACAGCCUUACCACACACACAGAAGUUUGAAUGUGUUGUGUGCCUAGAACUAGUAGGCAUGUUGCUGACUACAGAAGUGCCUUGCUGUAGUGGCUCCAACUAUAAUUCAUGUGCUUGUGCCAGGUGUGUGGUCACGAAUGGUAUGAAUUUUUUCAGUUUCUGCCAAACUAAGGCUUAUUUAGUCUAAACAUGAAAUGAGUAUCUCCCCAUUUCAGGAUCUCUCGUAGUUUACUUGUUGCUACAUACCACACAAAAGACAUGCAUGUUUUUAACUAGCUUCUCAUCUUGCUCUACCUCAUUGUUUUUAAGAUAAAGGGAUUGGGAUGUUCGUGCUGCUUAUGGAAGUUUUGUUGAUAUAUUACUCUUAAACAGUGCACUAAACUAGUGUUAAGCUUUGCAACAGAACAGGAGAACGAGGUCUCUGCUGCGUUGAAGUACUGGCUAAUCAUUUGUUUAGCUGUGUCACAUUUGUGUGGUAACUCCAUACUGGUGCUGAUUCUGGAACACCAUCCUGAUAGUUGCUAGAGAGACUGUGGGCUGUGACAGGUUCAAACCAGGUUGAGCAGGGUGUGUAAACAUUGCUGCAGUGCAAGGCUUAGGAAUACCUUCAGUAAAUGGCUUGUGGAAGGCUUAGUUCUUAAAAGCCCAAUAAAGUCACAUUUUGGUUUAGUAUCUUUGCAUAAAAAUCAGUGAGCGUCAUUUAACAGAAGUUAAAUGCUACAAAUUAUUGUGUUCCCUUUGUUCCCUAUUAAAAAGCAGGAUUAUUAGUUUCUUUCAAGUCUUGAUGCUCAAAGAAGCUCCAUUAAAAUACUGACCUUUGCACCUUUCAAAAUAUCCUUGUUAAACAAACUGUCCUGUGUUGGUGGUUGAUAUCAAGAGUAGGAUUUGAUCUUUCUCAGGGGCUGAUUCAAAGGAGUCCUGUGUAUUGUUUUGUCUUGGAGAUGGUCUUAUCUUAGUUUCAUAAAACUUGAAACUUCUCAUGUGAGAGAAGGAAACUCAGCUUGUUUUGGUUGAGGCUGAUUGUUAAAGCAAAAUAUGAGCUAUUGUAAGUCAAGUUUUCUAUUGGUACAGGCACGGUUUUAAGAGUUGCAGGACAUCCCAUCAAAGGAAUUCCUAUCUGAAGUUCAGAGUCUCUGAAAUGGCUUGUUACAACUUGAUGGUAUACAUGUCAUAAAGAUACUCAUUUUGGUUUGUGGAUUAUUUACUCUCUUUUCCCACAUUACUGCUUCCCGUGUUUUGCUGUAUGCAGUUUACUUUAUUAUAAAUGAAAAUUACAUUGUCUAAAUUUUAGUGAUGAAGUUCGGAGUCUUAUGCUCCUUUAAGACAAAAGAAACAGAUAAUCCAAAAUUUGCUUUUUUUUCUCUGAAGCUUAUGUUCAAAAAUAACAUCCUGUAGUUACUAAUUUAUUUAGGUGAAAUGUGACUUAUUUCAGAAAAACAGUAAGAUUGAAAUGAGGUGCUGUCCCAGCAAGCAAAAUGAAAUCCAAGAAGUUUUUUCUUUGUCAGUUAUUUUUACCCACUGCAGUGUUUUACUGCUGAAGUAGUUGAGAUCCUUUCAUUUCUCCAUGUCGUCAUACUUUUUUAGAAACAAGAAGAGCUAAUUUUCAAGGUGGCAUUGCUUUUUUUUUUUUUUUUUUUUGGUGCUUUUCAUAUAAAGCAAUGAUUACUUCUGUUAUUGGCUGAAUACCAAGGUGUUGCACGUGCACGUGCUUCUGUGUGAUCAUCUAUAACAUUAAAAAAUACAACAAACAAA